GUGACGAUGCGACGCUGCGUGGAGGAUGAAGGCUUUCGGGUUGUAAACUCCUGUCAUGAGGGAAAAGCCGCACGGAUGUUAAUACCAUUUGUGCCCGAUGGUACCUCAAGAGGAAGCGACGGCUAACUCUGUGCCAGCAGCCGCGGUAAUACAGAGGUCGCUAGCGUUGUUCGGAUUUACUGGGCGUAAAGCGUGCGUAGGUGGUUCCGUAUGUCGGUCGUGAAAUCCCACAGCUCAACUGUGGAACUGCGUCCGAAACUGCGGGGCUUGAGUACAGGAGAGGAGAGCGGAAUUCUUGGUGUAGCGGUGAAAUGCGUUGAUAUCAAGAGGAACACCGGUGGCGAAGGCGGCUCUCUGGAAUGUUACUGACACUGAGGCACGAAAGCUGGGGGAGCAAACAGGAUUAGAUACCCUGGUAGUCCCAGCCGUAAACGAU
rnacentral:rRNA from 1 species